rnacentral:lncRNA from 1 species
UUAUUAUUAUUAGUAUUAACCAAAUUACAUUUUUAUUUAUUACAGAAAAUCGAACAAAAACACUGGGAUAGCACAACAUAGCACAAUAAAUAAACCAAGAUAAACACGUUCCAGAAACGUUUCUGUUUUAACAAAGAGUUAUUGCUGGAACUACAGAGAGGGAGUGUUAGUCUGGUGUAUAGACCACAUAUGAACAAACACAUCUGAAAUGACACCCCAGUGUGCUGCGUUACUAUUGGCCAGAGACACAUACUAUGAAGUGUUUGCCCCAUCUGUCCUUUGUAGUGCACUAUAUAGGAUAGGGUGUCAUUAGAGAUGCAGAGGUCUAGACGUGAAAAAGGGAAGGACCAUGCUGCCAGAGAUAUGGAACCUGGAGACAUAGAAACAUUACACAUCCUCUGCUACAGAUGCGGAUCAAACAGGAAAUGAAUAAUGUUAUCUUAACAAUUUUAGUUGUAGUUCUCUUUGUCAAAACAUCAUUUAUUCAUUACUGCCACUCAAGCCCUCUAGGGGCUCGAUUCAAUCCAUAGCGCUAAAGAUCUGCGCUAUAGCGCGUUAGAAAUUGAAAGGCAAUGUUUCCGCGUUAGCAGAGACUGCAUUCACGGUGAACGCUGCAUACAGUAGAAAUGGAUUAGCUGACAACGUCACAAAAAAACGAUGUGCGCGCUUCCAUGGGGAAGAAGUCAGCGUGUUGUUGUGAUUCUGGAUGGCCAGAUUGUUAGGCCAACCCUAUCACUAACCGUUCCAUCAGGCUGAAGAAACUGACUUGGCAGUGUUUGAGAGAAGGGCUACAUUGCCGUUUCAUCGGUUUGUCAUCGUAUAAUAAAACUAUAUAAUAAUACAUUUCCUUACCACAUUACUGUUGGAACACAGGUAGGUACCCACAUAAUGAUCAAUGUAUAAUCAACAAUAAUAAACAUUUAAGACAUGGUAUUCAACAAAAAACUAAAAAUCAAGACAGUCUUUAUUAAAAAAGGUACGCUUUAUUUUCUAUAAAAUGCACUGGUAGGUGUACAGUUAUCCUUCAUAGUAGAACAAAGAACCAUAAUUCUAACCCUAGCCUUCAUUGUAGAACAAAGAACCCUAACCCUAGCCUUCAUUGUAAAAUAAAGAACCCUAACCCUAACCCUAGCCUUCAUUGUAGAACAAAGAACCCUAACCCUAACCCUAGCCUUCAUUGUAGAACAAAGAACCCUAUCCCUAGCCUUCAUUGUAGAACAAAGAACCCUAACCCUAGCCUUCAUUGUAGAAUAAAGAACCCUAACCCUAGCCUUCAUUGUAGAACAAAGAACCCUAACCCUAGCCUUCACUGUAGAACAAAGAACCCUAACCCUAGCCUUCACUGUAGAACAAAGAACCCUAACCCUAGCCUUCACUGUAGAACAAAGAACCCUAACCCUAGCCUUCAUUGUAGAACAAAGAACCCUAACCCUAGCCUUCAUUGUAGAACAAAGAACCCUAACCCUAGCCUUCAUUGUAGAACAAAGAACCCUAACCCUAGCCUUCAUUGUAGAACAAAGAACCCUAACCCUAGCCUUCAUUGUAAAAUACAGAACCCUAACCCUAGCCUUCAUUGUAGAACAAAGAACCCUAACCCUAGCCUUCAUUGUAGAACAAAGAACCCUAACCCUAGCCUUCAUUGUAGAACAAAGAACCCUAACCCUAGCCUUCAUUGUAGAACAAAGAACCCUAACCCUAGCCUUCAUUGUAGAAUAAAGAACCCUAACCCUAGCCUUCAUUGUAGAACAAAGAACCCUGACCCUAGCCUUCAUUGUAGAAUAAAGAACCCUAACCCUAACCCUAGCCUUCAUUGUAGAACAAAGAACCCUAACCCUAGCCUUCAUUGUAGUACAAAGAACCCUAACCCUAGCCUUCAUUGUAAAAUACAGAACUCUAACCCUAACCCUUGCCUUCAUUGUAAAAUAAAGAACCCUAACCCUAGCCUUCAUUGUUAAAUAAAGAACCCUAACCCUAGCCUUCAUUGUAAAGUAAAGAACCCUAACCCUGGCCCUCAUUGUAAAAUUAAGAACCCUAACCCUAACCCUAGCCUUCAUUGUUAAAUAAAGAACCCUAACCCUAGCCUUCAUUGUAAAGUAAAGAACCCUAACCCUAGCCUUCAUUGUAGAACAAAGAACCCUAACCCUAGCCUUCAUUGUAGAAUAAAGAACCCUAACCCUAGCCUUCAUUGUAGAACAAAGAACCCUAACCCUAGCCUUCACUGUAGAACAAAGAACCCUAACCCUAGCCUUCACUGUAGAACAAAGAACCCUAACCCUAGCCUUCACUGUAGAACAAAGAACCCUAACCCUAGCCUUCAUUGUCGUACAAAGAACCCUAACCCUAGCCUUCAUUGUAGAACAAAGAACCCUAACCCUAGCCUUCAUUGUAGAACAAAGAACCCUAACCCUAGCCUUCAUUGUAGAACAAAGAACCCUAACCCUAGCCUUCAUUGUAAAAUACAGAACCCUAACCCUAGCCUUCAUUGUAGAACAAAGAACCCUAACCCUAGCCUUCAUUGUAGAACAAAGAACCCUAACCCUAGCCUUCAUUGUAGAACAAAGAACCCUAACCCUAGCCUUCAUUGUAGAACAAAGAACCCUAACCCUAGCCUUCAUUGUAGAAUAAAGAACCCUAACCCUAGCCUUCAUUGUAGAACAAAGAACCCUGACCCUAGCCUUCAUUGUAGAAUAAAGAACCCUAACCCUAACCCUAGCCUUCAUUGUAGAACAAAGAACCCUAACCCUAGCCUUCAUUGUAGUACAAAGAACCCUAACCCUAGCCUUCAUUGUAAAAUACAGAACCCUAACCCUAACCCUUGCCUUCAUUGUAAAAUAAAGAACCCUAACCCUAACCCUAGCCUUCAUUGUAAAAUAAAUAAUCCUAACCCUAACCCUAGCCUUCAUUGUAGAACAAAGAACCCUAACCCUAACCCUAGCCUUCAUUGUUAAAUAAAGAACCCUAACCCUAGCCUUCAUUGUUAAAUAAAGAACCCUAACCCUAGCCUUCAUUGUAAAGUAAAGAACCCUAACCCUGGCCCUCAUUGUAAAAUUAAGAACCCUAACCCUAACCCUAGCCUUCAUUGUUAAAUAAAGAACCCUAACCCUAGCCUUCAUUGUAAAGUAAAGAACCCUAACCCUAGCCUUCAUUGUAAAGUAAAGAACCCUAACCCUAGCCUUCAUUGUAAAGUAAAGAACCCUAACCCUAGCCUUCAUUGUAAAGUAAAGAACCCUAACCCUAGCCUUCAUUGUAAAAUUAAGAACCCUAACACUAACCUUCAUUGUAAAAUAAAGAACCCUAACACUAACCUUCAUUGUAAAAUAAAGAACCCUAACACUAACCUUCAUUGUAAAAUAAAGAACCCUAACCCUAACCUUCAUUGUAAAAUAAAGAACCCUAACACUAACCUUCAUUGUAAAAUAAAGAACCCUAACCCUAACUCAUUGUAAAAUAAAGAACCCUAACCUUCAUCAGAGCAGGGUUAUCCCGAUCAGGACCCCUUGGUUUCUCUUCAGGCACCAGGUUAGACACCGCUCUGAGUUACACAACACUGUGUGUGUGUGUGUGUGUGUGUGUGUGUGUGUGUGUGUGUGUGUGUGUGUGUGUGUGUGUGUGUGUGUGUGUGUGUGUGUAUGCAAGCAUGUACUUCAUAUGUGUCUAAACAUGGGCGCUCUUGGCGUGGUUAGUGGAGGGUGGAACAGGGUUGCCAGGCCCCUGUCCUUUGGAGUAGUAGAACCUGUCAUGGUGAUUGUAGUGUUGGGACGGUUCAGUAGAACAGCAGGUGAUCAUGGCCCCUCCCAGGAGACAGAAGGCCGUGCCCACCCAGCCAGCAUACAGGCUGAACCCAAACGACAUGAGUCCCUGGUCCUGGUGGGCUCCUAUAGGAAACCAUACUGUCGACACCCCCCCACACAGAGCUAUACAGGAAGGGGAGAGAGAGAGAUUUAGAUUAAUGCCCACAUUUAAUACAUAUAAAAGGUCCUAUUUUUUUCGUCCUUUUUAACUCUGCUUUGUUUGGAAAGGGCUUGUAAGUAAGCAUUUCACGGUAAAGUCUACACCUGUUGUAUUUGGUGCAUGUGACAAAUAAAAUUAGAUUUUGAUUUGAUUAUAAACACACAUGUAUACUGAACAAAAAUAUAAACGCAACAUGCAACGAUUUUACUCAGUUACAGUUCAUAUAAGGAAAUCAGGCCUUAAUCUAUGCAUUUCACAUGACUGGGCAGGGGCGCAGCCAUGGGUGGGCCUGGGAGGGCAUAGGCCCACCCACUUGGGAGCCAGGGGCAGCCAAUCAAAAUGAGUUUUUCCACACAAAAGGGCUUUAUUAAAGACAGAAAUACUCCUCAGUUUUAUCAGCUGUCUGGGAGGCUGGUCUCAGACGAUCCCGCAGGUGACGAAGACGGAUGUGGAGGCCGGUUGGAUGUACUGCCAAAUUUUAUAAAACGACGUUGGAGGCGGAUUAUAUGGUAGAGAAAUGAACAUUCAAUUCUCUGUCAACAGGGGUGGACAUUCCUGCAGUCAGCAUGCCAAUUGCACGCUCCCUCACAACUUGAGACAUCUGUGGCAUUGUUAUGUGUGACAAAACGGCACAAGGUGCACCUCUGUAAUGAUCAUGCUGUUUAAUCAGAUUCUUGACAUGCCACACCUGUCAGCUGGAUGGAUUAUCUUGGCAAAGGAGAAAUGCUCACUAACAGGCAUGUAAACAGAUUUGUGUACAAAAUAUUAGAGAAAUAAGCUUUUUUUUAUAUUUCUGGGAUCUUUUAUUUCAGCUCAUGAAACAUGAGACCAACACUUUACAUGUUGUGUUUAUAUUUUUGUACAGUAUACAGUAGAAUUUAUAGGUAAAUAUAGUACUUAUAGUAGUAUAUACGACAUUGUACACGCACACACACACACACACACACACACGAUGGACAUCAUGUGGAACAGGGUGUUGGAAAACUGGACAGUGAAAAGCAGAUCAAACACAUUUUAUAUUGUGUCAAACAACAAAUGGGAAAAUAUUUUCCAGCUGGAGGGAACAGGGUGCGGACGAGGUGGGUGGGGAGGAAUGGUGGUCUGGGGGAUGUGUGUCUGUGGGAGUUAGGGGAGGGAGGAAGGGGAGAGACGGAUGGCUGAGAGGGGUGAAAGGGAGGGAGGAUGGGGGGGUUAAGGGUCAAGGUUAGACCUGGGGCUGGGGUUGUUAUAAGUAUGACCAUAUGUUGUAAUGUGUGUGCAAACAUCUGUCUCUGUGCUCAAGUGUCUGUCUGUCUGUACGUGUGUGUGUGCGUGUGUGCGUGCGUGUGUGUCCAGACUUACCCACUAGCAGUAUGAGAACUCCCCCAAGUAGGGAUCGUUUGUUCUUGGCUGACUGAGGCUCGUCCCCCAGAGAGAUGCAAGGCGUGGCUGUUAGGACCAUCCCCACUGCAGGCAGCCCCAGGAGGGAUCCAGUUAUCAUCAAAGCCCUCGACGUCUGGAUGUAUGC